AACGAACGCUGGCGGCAGGCUUAACACAUGCAAGUCGAACGGUUGUAGCAAUACAGCAGUGGCAGACGGGUGAAUAACACGUGGGAACCUUCCUCGUAGUACGGAACAACUCAGGGAAACUUGAGCUAAUACCGUAUACGUCCGAGAGGAGAAAGAUUUAUCGCUAUGAGACGGGCCCGCGUCCGAUUAGCUAGUUGGUGGGGUAACGGCCUACCAAGGCAACGAUCGGUAGCUGAUCUGAGAGGAUGAUCAGCCACACUGGGACUGAGACACGGCCCAGACUCCUACGGGAGGCAGCAGUGGGGAAUCUUGCGCAAUGCGCGAAAGCGUGACGCAGCAACGCCGCGUGGGGGAAGACGGCCUUCGGGUUGUAAACCCCUUUCAGGAGGGACGAAGGUUC
rnacentral:rRNA from 1 species